rnacentral:ncRNA from 2 species
GGUCAUGAGCAUCAGCGCCAAGCCCCGGCUCGCUGAUCGGCAACCCUCCAACCGCGGUGGGGUGCUCCGGGUGAUGACCUGGUCGCCAUAACGCCGGGGCGACAAGCGCGGGUC